rnacentral:rRNA from 1 species
UACGUAGGGUGCAAGCGUUAAUCGGAAUUACUGGUGUAAAGCGUGCGCAGGCGGUUUUGUAAGUCUGACGUGAAAGCCCCGGGCUCAACCUGGGAAUUGCGUUGGAGACUGCAAGGCUUGAAUCUGGUAGAGGGGGGUAGAAUUCCACGUGUAGCAGUGAAAUGCGUAGAGAUGUGGAGGAACACCGAUGGCGAAGGCAGCCCCCUGGGUCAAGAUUGACGCUCAUGCACGAAAGCGUGGGGAGCAAACAGG